CAAACCACAAGAUCAUGACGUGAGCUGAAAUCGAGAGUCAGUCACUUAACUGACCGAGCUACUCAGGCACCCCUAAAUGUUUUGAAAAUUCAACACCACUUUUCUCUCCUGCUAAAGCCAACUAGACAUGCGGACAGUUUGACCAGGGGCAGGUGCUAGGACCCUCUGGGUCUGCAAGAGAGGCUGGGCCACAGUCUGUGGGGGCAGAGAAAAGAUGAUCCACCCAAACCCUCAAUGUUGUUAAGCAACUGCAGAAAGCAGGCAAAAGGAAGCGUGAAGUCCAGACUUCUGAGAGGAUGUCACCCUUUGAAGAUCCUUUCAAGUACAAAGUACAGGGGCUCAAAUGAUUCUGACACAGGCGAGGAAAUAACUAUCUACAAACACCCACAUCAGGCAGAGCCGUGCACAUGAGGCGUCCAGCAGAGUGAGUAUUUCAAGGCUUAAGGUCUUCUAUCCCCCACCUCCAACCUCAAAGCACUGAACCAUGAAAAUGCAAAUAAAUAAAGCCACUGUAGCUUGUGUGCGACUUCCAGAAUACUCUUGUCACUAGGUCAUGCAAGAAAACCCUAUGCCAGCCCCGCAAAGGUGGUCUAACGAAGUCAUCGCUGACUGUUUGUCACUAGAGAACCCAGUGAAGGUUUUGACUCCUUCUCCGCCCUUUACCUGGAGGGCUGGUGGGGCAUGGGACACCAAGUGCUGGGAUCUGCAGUGCUUUCCAAGCAAUUAGUGAUAGCCGUUGAGUCUGACAGUUACACACAAGGCUCAAAGUUGGGCAGGUCACUAACCUGGAUGACCUUGGGCAAGAUGCAUAACUUUUCUUAAACUCGGUUUCCUCAUGUGGAAUAUGGGGACAAUAAGAGUGCCCACCUCGCAGGGUGGAGGUCAGAAGGGAAUCUAAGGCAGGAGGGCACACACAUGAGACCUCGAAUGCUUCCUGCUUAAAUGUUGGCUGCUAUUCUCUGCCUUCUUCCCUCCAACUCAAAGGAUAUUGAUUCAAUCAGUGUCAACACGAUGACUUAACAACCUAUCGAUCCUGUCAAGUCAGUAAAAACAAUCAGUCAGGCUGGUUGCUUGACAUUUCGUGGAUGAAAAUUGACCUUGUCCUGCUCACAUUUCGAGUUAUGAUGUCAUCUAGCCACGGUUUUCACAUCUAUGGUUUUGGCUGACAUCAGAUGGAAUAAUUCAUCUGACGGCACUUUGUGGGUGGUCCGGGAGGUUGGACAGGGGAGCGCGCAGGUGCAGCGCCUAGAGAGGACCCACGGAAGAAGUGGUCCAGCUGAGCCGGUGUGUUUGGUAAGGCCCCCCCAUCCCCACCCGAUUCUACAUGCAUCUUCCCAGACUGCAGGGUCAAGGCCUCAGAGGCCAGGCUGCUAAUGAAGUUGGAGUGUAUUUUCCUUGUAAAUAGAGCGUCGAAUGCUUGGUUUCUGCUGCAGAUGGCCAGACUGCACUACUUUUAGACAAAUCUCUGUGCAGCACGUGCAAAUGUGGGGAGAACGGAAGGAAAUCUGUGAUUUUAAUAGAGCCUUGGUACACCAAAACCCCCUCUCAGGGAGGUUUAGGAGAGCUAUGCCCUAGGCCGGUCACCAGAGGGCAAGACGCAAAGGAGGGCAAGAUACAAAAGGUCUGAAUCCUUACAUACUUAGGAAGAACUUUGGGAUGAGAAUGGAUUAUAUGAUGAGAAAUAAUUUUCCGGGUUCAGAAUUUCAUGAGUGUUCAUGCAAAAUGUUAACCCAGUGGGCUGGGCUUGAGCAUCAUACAUAUGCUGACUUAGAAUCUGGCUUGGUCAUUUGCAGCUCCGUGGCUUUGAGCAAAGGAAUUAUUCACUGAACCUUAGUUUCCACAUCUAUUAAGUGAGAUCGUGGUACCUACCUCAAGGAAUCAUUGUCAAGUUUCCAAAUGAGUUGAGGCUACCUCAGACCUCUCUCCAAUAUAGUUAGAGCCCAAACAAUAAAUACAGGUAGAAAUGUUUAAAACGACCAUAACAUACCUUAAUAUGAUUUGGGGCACCUGUUGAAUAUAUUAGGUACACCAGAGGAUGGAAAAUAGUGCAGUCAUUAAGGGUGAGAAUGGGGUUUAUCUGUAGAGAGGGACACGGAAAGGAUGCUCAUAAUAUAGAAACUGAAAGAAAAGCAGGUUGCAAAAGAACGUGACCUCUUUGCUCCGACCACUAGGCUCAAGACCUUUACGUACAAUGAACCACAUAUUACAGUAGUGUUCCAUCGUUGUCCCCCCUCACGUUGUUACCCCCGCAUUUUACAGAUGAGAAAACUCAGAACAGUCAAGAUUAAGUAAUAACCCCCAACGCACGCGAGUAGCAAGUGACAAAGUGAAGCUCUGUACCAUGGUCCCUCUGAUUCUCAGCCCUUGCCUUCUGUGCCUUUCCACGAGCCCUGAGGUGAAGAUGGGGAACAGAAGAUGCCAUUGUCCACGGAGAAGCCGAUGGAUGGCUGUGCAGAUGGAGUGAUGGAGUUCUCUCAAGUCAAGAGGAUAUUUUUCUUCCCACCUUCCCUUUGAGCAGAUUACACAAACAGGCCUAACAGCCUGCUCCCAGUAGACAGAAUCUUGCCGAGAUUCCGUGGGCGAAGACAUGACCCGGACCACGCCUUUGGAGAGAAAUUUGACAGGCUUUCCGUCAAUUUCACAGCGUGCAUCAUUUCUGACCCAGCACACUCGAGGUCUAUGAAUAUGCCAGAGUUACCCCGGCAUAUCUGCCUGUGAGACACACGGAAAGAUGUUCCUUGCAGAAUCAGGGGAGGACUGUCUGAAUAAAUGUGGCAAUUCAUCUGCUGGAAUACAGUAUCAUCAUCAAAAGCUGCGGAAAGAGAUGAGAUAGACGGGUAGAUCUUUAACGACUAAACAAGCUGCAGAAUACUGCCAGCAGCAUGAGACCAUUUAUAUGAAAGCUUAAAGCACAACGCUCAUCUUGUUCAAGGAUUCAUGUGUAUGCGAUGCAAAGGAAUAAAAACUGGGCUAGAAAGACACCAAACAGUGGUUAGCUUUAGGAAGAAGGGAGGUGACCGGCCUGGAAGAGGAGACAGAGGAAUCUGUAGUUUUACUUGCCAAUGUUUUAUUUCUUCUGUUUUUGUUUUUUUAACGAAAACCAAACAUGGGACCUAAUAACAACUACUCUAGGAAGGGGCCACUUCUAUGUGUGUUUCAGGAUUUUCUGCACUUUCCCCCACUUUUUAGAGUUUUCAGAAUGUGAGAAAUGUGAGGAAGAAAGCACCGCAAAAGCAGGGGGAGGAAGAAGGGAAGGAGGCAGCUCUGUAGCGCGUCUGGUGCGUUUGAAAAUCCAACUAAGAGCCAUGGCGACUAUCACAAGGGCGUCCAAAUGGACUGAAAAACGUCCAAAGCAGCAGUAGUGAACCAAACAACGAAUUCAUCUAAAUAUAUUUGAAAAUAACGAUAUACCUUUUUAGUAUUAAAAAUAAAAGCCUUUGGGGCACCUGGGUGGUUUA